GGAAGAUGCUACGGGCAUUGUGGUGGUGGUUAUGUUUCGGGUUGUGCAGUCAUCUAGUAGGGCAGGCAGAGGCCCCGAGUCCGGUGGAGUCAUCGGAACGGAGCCGACCGUAUGCGGUGCUGCGUGGGCAGAACCUGGUGCUGAUGGGAACCAUUUUCUGCAUCCUGCUGGUAACCAUGAUCCUUAUGGCAUUUUGUGUCUACAAGCCCAUUCAGCGCCGAUGACAGCCGAGCAAGCAAGUUCUCUCCUACGAGUAUUUGGGAACAGAAUAAGUUACGCUGCACACGUGUCAGUGGAGAAGUUGGAAUCAGAACUUUGCUGCUUAAGCAUGCUCUUUGGUUUGGACAGUUGGUAAAUGCUAAAUUAUUUAGAAAAAAACAUCUAGCAGUUAUUUUUUUCCUAACACUGUAAUGCAAAAAUUGGCCACUGAAUUGGCUUCUCAGUGUUUCUUUUUUCUAUCUGGCUGUACUUUUUAAAAAUAAGACCUGAAGCUCCAAGUUUCAGAUCAGAGAUGGAGUACUCGUGAGAAAGAAAACUCAGUAACUUUGUGAGUUACGUAAAAACUUCUUUGGAAAAGACUAAUCAUUGAUGUUUGAAAAUAUUAAGAUAAGAAAGACUUAACAUGUAGAUAUUCCCUACUGAAGAAUCAUUUGGUAACAAUGGGUUAAGAAUCACAGAUGUUUUAAAUUAUACAGAGUUGGCCUAGAGUGCUCUGGCUGCAAAGCAGUGUCAGCUGCAGGGAACUUAUGCCAUCAGUCUUCAUGCAGCAUCGAGCUCUGCACUCAGAUGCCCGCAUUGAAAUCAGGGUCACAUCAGUCAGGCUUAUGAUUGCGUGCACCCUUGGGCUAGAAGGCUGGGGUUGGACAGGAAAUGUUAUUAAUUGGCCUGAGAAGGAACUCAUUCUACUCAAACAUAUUGAUCUUUCUUGUACUGCACUUAAGUCUUCCCAGCUCUUGGCCUAACACUUGGUGGCAGCUUUUCAGAUUUGGAAUCUAGAAUACUCAACAGGAAUUCUUUCUUUUCAGCUCUGCAUGGGGAGGGCUCAGUCAAUAGAAGAGCCUGUUUAUUUUGCCAGGCAGAAUGGCAGGUGGGCAUGUGUUUACACAAAUUUAAUUUCGACUUUGAAAAUGCUGCUAUUUGUUUGCACUGUUGGUGAACUGGAUUUUUCCCACUAUUGAAACGAUACUUUCAUACUUAGAAAGUGAUUAUCAGUAUUUAUUUUAAAGGUGCUAGCUUUAAUUUUGUUAUUAAAUUGAAAUGCUUAAAUCUUAUGCUCCAAGCACAGCACUGAUUUUUUUUUUUAACUACCCAUACUUAAUGUGAAAUAACAAAGUUGAGAUCCUGUAACUCUUUGACUUAAGGAUUUUGUUUGUAACCCAUCAUUGAGCCAUUAGAAUGUUAACUAUUCUGUGCUUAUCAGCAAAAUAUCAAUUAAAAUUAAAGUAAAAUCUUA